rnacentral:tRNA from 1 species
GGCCUCGUGGCGUUCCCGGCGGAGCGGCCCGCCUGCAAAGCGGGUAACAGAAUCCGGUUCGACUCCGGGCGAGGCCUC